GAGGCCCAGCUUUAGCUCUCCCUGGGACUUGAGAAUGUUUUGGAUGGCGUCUUUCCCCAUUCUGGAGCUGCAGGGGCCUCGGGACACUGCCCCAGACACACCGAUCCUCCACGAUAAUAAUCAGAAUAUUUUACUGAGUUAUUUUUACUUGCGCAACCCAGUUCUAACUGCUUGCCAGGCUUUAACUCAUUUUAUCCUCUCCACACACCAUCAGGUGGGUGCUACUGUCCCACUUUACAGAUGAGGAGACGGAGGCACAGAGGGGAAGGGCUUGCCGUGCCACUCCUCCAGCCUCCCUGCUCUAUAAAAAUGUUGGAGGGGUGGGUGCCUGGAAGGAGCACCCCCUGCCCUGACCCUGUGAUCUUACAGUCGGGCUCUGAGGCUCGAGACCUUUGUCUCAACCUAUCGUCUCUGCUGAGUUGCAGAAGCCUAUUUGAGCUUAAGGGCUAAGAAUGACCUCUUUCUUUCCUUUCGUCCUUUUCUGGCUUCCCCUCCUGAGGCAGGGGGCAGGGAUACCUGAGGAGCCGCUGGGGCCAGGGUAGGACCACACUGCAUCGAAUGCAUGGAAAUGAAGAGGGGGCUUGGUGCAUACACUAAACAUUUAUCCCAUUAGGGUUUUUUUUUUAAUUUUUAAAAUUUUUUUGUCUUUUUGUUUUUUCCAGGGCUGCACCUGUGGCAUAUGGAGGUUCCCAGGCUUGGGGUCAAAUUGAAGCUGCAGCUGCCAGCCUAUGCCAGAGCCACAGCAAUGUAGGAUCAGAGCCGCAUCUAUGAACUUCACCAUAGCUCAUGGCAACUCGGGAUCCUUAACCUACCAAGGGAGGCCAGGGACUGAACCCGCAAGCAACCUCAUGGUUCCUAGUUGGAUUCAUUAACCACUGAGCCAUGACGGGAACUCCCUAUUAGGGAUAUUUUAAAGCUCACACUCACCUCCCCAAUGGGAGUCAACUCACCCCAAGGCGCUGGAGCAACAGGUGUCAGCUCUUGUCCCCUCCUGCCUGCUUUUCUAGGUUUUACUCCCUUCAUCGCAUCAGCUGGGCUUGGUGGCUCUUGGUGGCUCCCUUCCCUGGCCUCGGGGCUCCCUGGCUUCCCUGCCCAAAGAUCCCAUUCUAGCUGGUGUCUCCCACCACACCCUAUAUCCGUGUGCGCUCCCUGCUCGCCCUCCCCGCCCCCGCCUCCUGGCCUGGGCUCCCAUCCUUCAAGGCCUAUCCCGCACCCCUUGGCCCUGGGGCCCACCUACUCCCCUGACUUCCAGGGCAGGUUAAGGAUGUUACCUGCUCUGUCAGGCAGACUGGGACCAUGGCCUUGACCUACAGAGUCGCUUCACCAGACAAACCUGGGAGCGUCCCUUACCUUCCCUAAGGUUAGGUUGUGCGAUGGUUAAAUUACUGUGUCAACCUUUCGGGGCUGAGGGAGGCCCAGAUAACUUGCAGGUUUGAAGAGAAGAAGAAGAGAUGAGCGUUUGAAUCAAUAAACGGAGAAAAAAUCGCCCUCCCAGUGUGGGUGGGCAUCGUCCUACACACUGAGGGCCCGAAUAGGACAAAAAGAGAGAGGAAGGGCAAAUUUUCUCUCUGUGGAGGUAGGACAUCCACCUUCUGCCCUCAAGCAUCGGCACUCCUGUUCUUGGGCUUUCAGACGUGCACCAGGAUUCGUACUCUUGGCCCCCCUCAGUCUCAGGCCAGGUUUGAACCUACACCACCGGCUUCUCUGGCUCUUCAGUUUACAGGUGGCUGAUGGUGAGAUUUCUCAGCCUCUGUAGUUGUGUGAGCCAGCCUCUCAUCGGAAAUCUCUCUGUUUACCUGUUUAUCCCACUAGCUCUGUUUGUCUGGAGAACCGUAUCACAGGUCUCGCACGUAACAUAGGGUUAAUAAUAUCUGCCUCAUAGGCUUAUUGUGAGGAUUAAAGAUAAAUGUCAAAUGCUUAUCCCCAGGCCCAGCUCCUAGGAAGUGCUCUGAGAGUGGCACACAUGGGCUCCUGCGGCCUCGAUUUGACUUGUUCUAUAUAUGCCCUGUUGUCACCCCAAUAAGACUGAGCUUCAGGAAGGUGGGCAUCGUGUAUUUUUCCUGUGGCCCCACAACCCGGCACAUAGUGGGUGGUUGGUAAAAGCCGCCUAAAGAGCCAAAGGCUUAGAGGGACACUGUGUCCUAUCUGGUGUGCCCCAGCCUCUGGUAGACGGGCGCAAUAUUUACGCUGCUUUAGAGGGAGGAGAUGGCCCUUUCCAUCACGGUCUUUUGUGAAAUGAGACUUGGUCCUUUUGGCACCUCGGGGCCUGAGAAACCCCAUCCACAGAGCCCCACCUGCAGUGGCGCUGAAUGAAUUGAUGGUGCGGGGGAGCUGUCAGUUCUGGUGCAUCUCCCCGACCCCAGACCCCACAGAACGCACUGCCUGCUGCACGCAUCUACCCUUCAGAUAACGUCUGAAAACCCAACAUUGGCUGAUGGAAACCUGUAGCGGCCCCAGGGUAGCGGCCUCAAACAAUGCCAUGCCUUGCUGCGGGUUUGGCCCAUCAGAAGGUUGGCCUGGCCACCUCAAAGUCUGUUAAGCACUCCAUAAACAUUAUUAUUAUUAUUAUAGCUUUUUAGGGCCGCACUGGCAGCAUAUGGAGGUUCCCAGGCUAGGGGUCCAAUAGGAGCUUAGCUGCCGGCCUACGCCACAGCCGCAGCAAUGUGGGAUGUGAGCCGCGUCUGUGACCUACACCACAGCUCAAGGCAACACUGGAUCCUUAACUCACUGACUGAGGCCAGGGAUCAAACCUGUGUCCUCACGGAUGCUAGUCAGAUUCGUUUCCACUGCGCCACAACAGGAACUCCCAUAAACCUUAUUUUUAAAAGUAUGCAUUGUCCCUCUUUAGAUGUGUCUCAGUAUUGGCUCCUGGACAAAUCUUUUAUCUUCAGUCUCCCCUUCAAGUUCAGUUAAAAACAAAGAUCUGUUUUCUCAGAAGGAUCAGGGCUUAGGGCUCCAUGAGAGAAUGGAGGUACGUGAGGUUUUUAGGAAUUUCCUGGAGAUAUUUUCCAAUGUGAGCGGCUCUACCAGGCUCGAUCCACAUUCGAAGAUGUCCCUUUGUUUGGAUCUUGGAUCUUGGGUCUGUGUUUUCUGGUUGAAUCUGCUUGUCUGUAGAGGUGGGUCACUGUGGGACAGGGGCAAGCUUUUGAUGUAAUUCAGGCCGAGCCUGCCUACCCUAUGGGCACCGUAAUUUAUUUGGGGGACCCCCUUCGGUGGCAACAUCUGCAGUGGCCACUCCUGGCCUGAGGAAGGAAGGUCUGGAAGAUGGGAGGGAGAAGCCCCCCCCCCGUCCCUUCUUCAAUUUUUGGAAAAUCUGUUGAGGCGUAUUUUACGGUUGGAUCAUAGCGUUUGCCCAUGUUAAGCGCACAGCUCAAUGAGCUUGAGUAAAUGUUCCCGGUUGCGCAAACAUAACCAGGAACUAGCUUUUAGAACCCUUCAUCCCCCCACCAAGUCCCCUGGAACCCAUGCGCAGUCAAUCUCCGCUCCUGUCCCCAGCCCCCAGCAACUACUGCUCUGUCUCUGUAAUUUUGCCUUUUCUAGAAUUUGCAUAUAAAUAGAAUCAUA
rnacentral:lncRNA from 1 species